rnacentral:hammerhead_ribozyme from 1 species
AUUCGGCUGACGAGUCCCAAACAGGACGAAGCGCGCGUCCUGGAU